UGGAUUUGGCAUAUCAUCCCACACACACUGUCUACCCACAUGCUGACCUCUUGUUCACUGCCUUCUUCAAUAUUUUAUUCUCCAUUGGCUUCGUCCCCAUUGCCUUCCUUGCUAGAAUCACAUGAAAUCUAGAAUGCAAGUACUUCAACAUCAAUUGCAUCGCUUUGGUGGGAUGAGUAUGCAAUACAAGGUAGACCUACCAUUUGGUGGC
rnacentral:lncRNA from 1 species